rnacentral:rRNA from 1 species
GGCCCAUUCAAAUUUAGGCAUUGCAUGUUCGUGAUAUGAGGUGACGGUCUCUCUGAAUCUGCGUACGGCUCCGCAAACCAGCUGCAAUACAUAGCUCGCUCAGCCGGGCGGCCUCGGCCGUCCGGCACCGCAAAAAUACGGAUAUCCCUGGUAAUUCUGGGGCUAAUACAUGGCAACCACGUUCGAGUACGGCCUGUGCGGGGGUGGUCCUUCGGGGCUGCCCUAUUCCAAACGUGCGGUGCCGUACCGGGGCGUGCGACAAUCAAACCAAGCUCGGGUACAAAAACACAUAAUCGGGACAGAACGCACGCUACGACCUGCACGCUUCACGGCAACCGGGCGCGCUCGCAAAGAACGGGGUGGUCUCGCUUCACGGCUUGGCUGCGAUCGUACGGAGCAGCGCGUUUGGGCAGGCACGAGCCACGGCUUCUGACCUAUCAACUAGAAUGCGGUAAAAUGGGCUGCAAUGGUCGCAACGGGUACAGAGGAUAAGGGUUCGAU